CGAGUGGGCCAGACGACCGCUCCGUGGGCCCUCGGGCGUCGCGGGGAGGAAAGUCCGGGCUCCGCGAGUCAGGGUGGUUGCUAACGACAACCGGCCGCGAGGCUAGGGAAAGUGCAACAGAGAGCAGACCGCCAACCCCCGCUCCGGCGGGGCGGCAAGGGUGAAAGGGUGCGGUAAGAGCGCACCGCGUUCUCGGUGACGAGGACGGCACGGCAAACCCCACCCGGAGAAAGACCAUGUAGGGGGAGCGCACCGGCGACGACUCGCGUCGAUGCUCCCCGGGUAGGUCGUUCGAGGCCGAGUGCGAGCUCGGUCCCAGAGAAAUGGUCGUCGCCUCUUUCGGGAGGAACAGAACCCGGCUUAUCGGCCCACUCGUACC
rnacentral:RNase_P_RNA from 1 species